CUCCAUCCUCUGGCAAGUCACGACAACGGACGCCGCUCCACCCCUCGCGACAGACUCCACGUGGCACAUCCCGGUGAUAGCCACGAUUCCACUCCACUACCCUUCGCAACAAACUCCUCCUGACUGUGGGCAGCCCACUGUCGGAUGGUUACAAAUUUCGCUAUCAGUCUGUUGCUCCCUUCGCCUAUAAAAGGGGGACCCC
rnacentral:lncRNA from 1 species